rnacentral:rRNA from 1 species
GGACCCGCACAAGCGGUGGAGCAUGUGGUUUAAUUCGAUGAUACGCGAGGAACCUUACCAGGGCUUAAAUGUAGAUUGCAUUAGCUAGAGAUAGCUAUUUCUUCGGACUAUUUACAAGGUGCUGCAUGGUUGUCGUCAGCUCGUGCCGUGAGGUGUCAGGUUAAGUCCUAUAACGAGCGCAACCCCUGUUGUUAGUUGCCAGCGAGUAAUGUCGGGAACUCUAACAAGACUGCCGGUGCAAACCGCGAGGAAGGUGGGGAUGACGUCAAAUCAUCACGGCCCUUACGCCCUGGGCCACACACGUGCUACAAUGGCCGGUACAGAGAGCAGCCACUACGCAAGUAGGCGCGAAUCUUCAAAAAGCCGGUCUCAGUUCGGAUUGAGGUCUGCAACUCGACCUCAUG